rnacentral:rRNA from 1 species
AUUGAACGCUGGCGGCAUGCCUUACACAUGCAAGUCGAACGGCAGCACGGGAGCAAUCCUGGUGGCGAGUGGCGAACGGGUGAGUAAAGCAUCGGAACGUGCCCAGUCGUGGGGGAUAACGUAGCGAAAGCUACGCUAAUACCGCAUACGAUCUGUGGAUGAAAGCGGGGGACCGUAAGGCCUCGCCCGAUUGGAGCGGCCGAUGUCAGAUUAGGUAGGUGGUGAGGUAAAGGCUCACCAAGCCGACGAUCUGUAGCUGGGCUGAGAGGACGACCAGCCAGACUGGGACUGAGACACGGCCCAGACUCCUACGGGAGGCAGCAGUGGGGAAUUUUGGACAAUGGGCGCAAGCCUGAUCCAGCAAUGCCGCGUGCAGGAUGAAGGCCUUCGGGUUGUAAACUGCUUUUGUACGGAGCGAAACGGCUUCCACUAAUACUGGGGGCUAAUGACGGUACCGUAAGAAUAAGCACCGGCUAACUACGUGCCAGCCGCCGCCGUAAUAC